UACGGAGGGGGCUAGCGUUGUUCGGAAUUACUGGGCGUAAAGCGCACGUAGGCGGAUUGUUAAGUCGGGGGUGAAAUCCCGGGGCUCAACCCCGGAAUGGCCUCCGAUACUGGCAAUCUUGAGGUCGGGAGAGGUGAGUGGAAUGGCGAGUGUAGAGGUGAAAUUCGUAGAUAUUCGCCGGAACACCUGUGGCGAAGGCGGCUCACUGGCCCGAUACUGACGCUGGGGUGCGACAGCGUGGGGAGCAAACAGG
rnacentral:rRNA from 1 species